UACGUAGGGCGCAAGCGUUGUCCGGAAUUAUUGGGCGUAAAGAGCUCGUAGGCGGUUUGUCACGUCGGAUGUGAAAGCCCGGGGCUUAACCCCGGGUCUGCAUUCGAUACGGGCAGACUGGAGUGUGGUAGGGGAGAUCGGAAUUCCUGGUGUAGCGGUGAAAUGCGCAGAUAUCAGGAGGAACACCGGUGGCGAAGGCGGAUCUCUGGGCCAUUACUGACGCUGAGGAGCGAAAGCGUGGGGAGCGAACAGG
rnacentral:rRNA from 1 species